rnacentral:sRNA from 1 species
AUCAAGGCGGGACAGGGGCGAUAGCUCCUGGAGGACUUCCUUCAGAUGGAGCUGAGCGUCCAGCCCACGAUGUCGGCCGCGACCCGGGCGAACGCGGCAUCGA